UCUUACAUCCCUCGAGACGCUAUUUAUCGAGGAUUGCCAAAAUAUCAAAUGCUUCCCCAAAGGAGGUUUGCCUCCCAAUUUGCAUCGCCUUUUAAUAAGAGGGUGCGAGAAUCUAAAGCAGCCAAUGAGAGAAUGGGGCUUACACCUACUCACAUCCCUCUGGUGUAUGUUAAUUGACUUUUGCAUGGGAGGGGAGGGAGAGAAGGUAUGGUUUCCUUCGGAGGACAGGGAUGCAUGGAGUCUUCUCUUUCCUUCCUCUCUAUUGUAUCUUCACAUUUGCAAUAUGUGGAAUGUUGAAAGACUAUCAAGCAGUCUUCUCAACCAUCUAUCCUCUCUCAAACAUUUAUGGAUCGACUCUUGCCCAAAGCUGAGGUACUUGCUAGAGGAUGGCCUCCCUCCCUCCCUCCAAGAAUUGUACAUAGAGAAAUGUGAGAUUCUGAAAGAUAGAUGCUCAAAACUCACUGGUGACUAUUGGCCCCUCAUCCAAGAAAUCCCUCUCAUCGAGAUAGAUUGGGUGUGGAUCCAAUGAAUUGAUUCUUCCAUGCACCGCCAGUUUUCUCGGAUUAAGGGCAACACACUGCAAAAUUGUUUUUCUUAUCUGUAUUACUGAUGGUCUCAGGAUCUGGUGAUUUAUGGUUAAAAGUUGCUGCAUUCGGAGCUUUCUAGUUACGCCAGGAUUUUGGAUAAGAAAUAUGAAAAAUGUGGAAGAACCAUCAAUAGCGGAGGACAUAAGAUGCGUGGAGCCUCCUAUUUCCUUCCUCUCUAACCUCUCCUUGGAUGAAAAAUAUGAGGAACGUGAAGAGACUAUCAAGUGGGCUUCGCAGGCAUCUCUCCUCCCUCAAACGGUCAUAUAUUUUAUAGUUGCUGGAUGUUGAGGUACUUGACAGAGGACAGCUUCCAUCCCUCCCUCCAUGUAUUCCGCAUAAUUCAAUGAGAGAUUCUGAAAGAUCGGUGCUCAAAACUCUGCGGCGACUGUUGGCACCUCAUCCAAGAAAUCCCACUCAUCGUAAUUGAUUGAGUUCGGAUUCAAUAAGAAGAUGUCUCUCCAAUGUCUAAUCUUUGUUCUCAAAACAAAUAAUACGUACAUGGACUUGCUUUCAGUGCAGGAAUUGUGAUGCAUGGAUGUGCCUAUCUUUAUUGAUGAUAUAUCUUGAACUUUGUUUCAUGCCCAAAAAUUGCUUAUCUUUCCACUUAUGGAAAUGCACUAUGCUUUGCGUGAGAAUCAUGAAUUGUUGCUCUUGUAUUGAUAUUUUUCUGCAAUAUUGGCGUUUGUUGUAUUUUCUCUUCCAAAUAUCUUUUUCUUAGGCCCUAGCUCAUUGACCUGAUGUCUCUCAACUAUGCUUGCUUUGUAGAAUAUCCCACCGUCUUCUGCAUUUGGCAAAAUCUCUCCCGGUGAUCAAAUGCAAACAUUGUUGAGAUUUAUCUGUAUCACGAUGUCAAUUAUCGAGGUCUACAUUCAAAGUCAAACGAAGCAGCUUUCGUACCUCCAACAACAGCAGCGACUGAAGAGAUGCAGAAAUUGGGGUUUUCGAGUUGGCAGAUUACAAUCCAUUUCAAUCUGAUUUCCUUGUUGAAGUUAACAGUUCAUCUUUAUUCUAUUUAACUUCCCACGCCAUCUCAGAGAACAUUUUCUUUUUCUUUGUCGCAAAGGAAAGACCGAGAGGAGCAAUCAAGGAGACUAUGCUCUGUUACCAUUUUGAGUAAUUGUAAAAGUUUCACGUC